GAUGAACGCUGGCGGCGUGCCUAAUACAUGCAAGUCGAGCGAACAGACGAGGAGCUUGCUCCUCUGACGUUAGCGGCGGACGGGUGAGUAACACGUGGAUAACCUACCUAUAAGACUGGGAUAACUUCGGGAAACCGGAGCUAAUACCGGAUAAUAUAUUGAACCGCAUGGUUCAAUAGUGAAAGACGGUUUUGCUGUCACUUAUAGAUGGAUCCGCGCCGCAUUAGCUAGUUGGUAAGGUAACGGCUUACCAAGGCAACGAUGCGUAGCCGACCUGAGAGGGGGCACGGCCACACGGGAACUGAGACACGGUCCAGACUCCCACGGGGGGCAACAGGAGGGAAUCUUCCGCAAGGGGCGAAAGCUUGACGGAGCAACGCCGGGGGGGUGAAGAAGGUCUUCGGAUCGUAAAACUUUGUUAUUAGGGAAAAACAAAUGUGAAAGUAACUAUGCACGUUUUGACGGUACCUAAACAGAAAGCCACGGCUAACUACGU
rnacentral:rRNA from 1 species